rnacentral:lncRNA from 1 species
GCACUGCUCUGAGGUGGUAUAGAAGGUUCUGGAAUGGGCUGGUGGUGUGAAGUAGAGCUGUGGCUGCUGCACUGAGACCCAGCCGUGGGUGGACUGAGCUGCUUAAGACCCUGGUUCCUCUUCAACAUCACUGCACCCCUCUUGGUCCCUCUUCCCUUGGGGGUGCACUGCUGAGGUCUCCUAAUUCUGCUUCCCUAAGCCCUUGCUGCUCCCAGUGUGGUCUGGGAACCAGUGGCAGCUGCACUGAUGGGGCGCCCAUGAAAACCGUGAAAGUCCUCUGCACCGCCUGUUCUUUUUAAAGCACUUCUAAAAAGAAGUGCUGAUGGGGUGGCAUCAAUUAUAUCCAGAUCUCUGGGGCAGCUCUUGAGCACUGGCUGUCAUGAGGCCCCCAGGACAACAGGCAGCCGGGAGAGGGGCGGGUGGGGAACCACUGGAUUGAAGUAAUGGUUCUCAAACUGGAGUGUGCACUGGAACCCCCAGGGAGCACAUCUUCAAACAGGUGGCUGGCCCCAUUCCCAGGGUCUCUGAACCAGUAGGUCUGAGGGGGCUGAGAAUCCACAUCUGUAACAGGUAUCCAGGUGAUGUUGACCCUGCUUGUGAGCCCCUCUGUCUGAGAACCACUGGUUUUUUUUUAUUAUUAUUUUUUAUUUUAUUUUUAUUUUUUAUUAUACUUUAAGUUUUAGGGUACAUGUGCACAACAUGCAGGUUUGUUACAUAUGUAUACAUGUGCCAUGUUGGUGUGCUGCACCCAUUAACUCGUCAUUUAACAUUAGGUAUAUCUCCUAAUGCUAUCCCUCCCCCUUCCCCCCUCCCCCCACCCCACAAUAGGUCCUGGUGUGUGAUGUUCCCCUUCCUGUGUCCAUGUGGAGAACCACUGGUUUUAAACAGUGGUGACGAAAGGUGUGGUUGGGCCAGAUGUGCCUGCUCAGAAAGCCACCAGAG